CUGACGAGCACGCCGCGUGAGUGAGAGGUUUUCGGAUCGUAAAGCUCUGUUGUUAAGGAAGAACGUGUGUGAGAGUGGAAAGUUCACACAGUGACGGUACUUAACCAGAAAGGGACGGCUAACUACGUGCCAGCAGCCGCGGUAAUACGUAGGUCCCGAGCGUUGUCCGGAUUUAUUGGGCGUAAAGCGAGCGCAGGCGGUUAGAUAAGUCUGAAGUGAAAGGCAGUGGCUCAACCAUUGUAGGCUUUGGAAACUGUUUAACUUGAGUGCAGAAGGGGAGAGUGGAAUUCCAUGUGUAGCGGUGAAAUGCGUAGAUAUAUGGAGGAACACCGGUGGCGAAAGCGGCUCUCUGGUCUGUAACUGACGCUGAGGCUCGAAAGCGUGGGGAGCGAACA
rnacentral:rRNA from 1 species